rnacentral:rRNA from 1 species
CCUACGGGGGGCAGCAGUGAGGAAUAUUGGUCAAUGGGCGGAAGCCUGAACCAGCCAAGUCGCGUGAGGGAUUAAGGCCCUGCGGGUGGUAAACCUCAUUUGCCGGGGAGCAGAGGUCCGGACGUGUCCGGGCCGGGAGAGUACCCGGAGAAAAAGCAUCGGCUAACUCCGUGCCAGCAGCCGCGGUAAUACGGAGGAUGCGAGCUUUAUCGGGAUUUAUUGGGUUUAAAGGGUGCGUAGGAGGGCAUUUAAGCCGGCGUGCAAAUGUCGGGGCUCAACCCCGGCCUGCCGUCGAAACUGGGUGCCUUGAGUGGGCGAGAGGGAUGCGGAAUGCGUGGUGGAGCGGUGAAAUGCAUAGAUAGCACGCAGAACCCCGAUGGCGAAGGCAGCAUACCGGCGCCCUGCUGACGCUGAGGCACGAAAGUGCGGGUAUCGAACAGGAUUAGAUACCCGUGUAGUC